AGAGUUUGAUCAUGGCUCAGAUUGAACGCUGGCGGUAGGCUUAACACAUGCAAGUCGAGCGAGAAAGUAUCUUCGGAUAUGAGUAGAGCGGCGGACGGGUGAGUAACGCGUAGGAAUCUACCUAGUAGAAGGGGAUAGCCCGGGGAAACUCGGAUUAAUACCGUAUACCUCCUAAGGGAGAAAGAGGGCCUCUCUUGAUGCUCUCGCUAUUAGAUGAGCCUGCGUAAGAUUAGCUUGUUGGUAAGGUAAUGGCUUACCAAGGCUACGAUCUUUAGCUGGUCUGAGAGGACGAUCAGCCACAUUGGGACUGAGACACGGCCCAGACUCCUACGGGAGGCAGCAGUGGGGAAUAUUGGACAAUGGGCGCAAGCCUGAUCCAGCCAUACCGCGUGUGUGAAGAAGGCCUUCGGGUUGUAAAGCACUUUAAGCAGGGAGAAAAAGUUAUAAGUUAAUACCUUAUAACCGUGAUGUUACCUGCAGAAUAAGCACCGGCUAAUUCCGUGCCAGCAGCCGCGGUAAUACGGAAGGUGCAAGCGUUAAUCGGAAUUACUGGGCGUAAAGCGCGCGUAGGUGGUUUGUUAAGUUGGAUGUGAAAGCCCUGGGCUCAACCUAGGAACUGCAUCCAAAACUAACUCACUAGAGUACGAUAGAGGGAGGUAGAAUUCAUAGUGUAGCGGUGGAAUGCGUAGAUAUUAUGAAGAAUACCAGUGGCGAAGGCGGCCUCCUGGAUCUGUACUGACACUGAGGUGCGAAAGCGUGGGUAGCGAACAGGAUUAGAUACCCUGGUAGUCCACGCCGUAAACGAUGACAA
rnacentral:rRNA from 1 species